CCCACAUGGCAGCUGACUCCGAGCCGGAUCCGUUUUCAAACCGGCAAAUCCGUGUUACAGUCACCUCCGUUUCACAGCUCAGGGCCGGGUGUCAGUGGGCGGGAACAUUCGCUAAACGGAUCUGUGCCGCAUCUGUGAAAACGAAUCCGUGAAAUUCUUCGGUGUGGUAGUUAUCGGCGGUACAGUACAUCCUCAGAGCUACAAAUUUCAUAAAGGCAAAUCUUUGGCGAUACAGACUCUGACAGUGAGCCAGAGACGGCUAUAAAGAGGAGAUGCCACAAUGUCCUCCCUUGUCCAGUACCACCUAUUCCUUCCCCUACUCCUGACAAUGAAGCUUGCCAGACUACUGCUAGACCUCUCCUAGACCAGAGGCAGACAGAAUCUUAUUUUACUGUGCCUCAAGUUGCAACACGUGUCUCUCACACACCAUCAAGCUCUAUGGGCCAGAUCUCUGCCACGCCUCUGCCAGAUGAGCAUUUCUUUAGGCCCACAUUUAGACCGGGGAAGACAGGCACUAGACCAAUUCCAUGCUCUGCUGCUCAGCUGCACAUCCUAACUUUAUUGGAACAUGUGAAGGAACAGCAAAUGGCGAUUGCUGCUGCUGUGAACAAUCUUGCUGCAAGACUGGGGACAGAGGCUCCUGUGGCUGAAAUGCCUAAAGACAUCAGUAUCCCCCUGACCACUGUGCCUGAAGUUGAGGAGUUUGAGGAAUGGCUUAAAGACUCAGGAAAUUCAUAAGCUAAACAAAACAUGAUAUCUGCUCUGGGUGCUGUUGGAGGUCAAAACACCAAAAGAGUGACAUGGAACAUACUUUCAAGGCUUUACUCAGAUGCAGUAGCCAAACAAAUAAACUGGAAAGGAGUCAAUGGGACUCGAAGUGCUUUAAGGAAAUGCUCACAAGAAGUUUAUUGAUCAGGGCUGUAAGAAAGAACCAGUCUUCGACCAAUGCAGCAGACAGUGAGAUAGAUUCUUAUGCCAUCCAUUGGUUCAAUCUUGCUCCUGACCAUGGCGGUGGCCGGAAAGAGCGUUCAAGAGUCAAAGAGGCGUUAACUGAGGUAAAUUCAGAUCCAAGAAGCAUAGUGGCAGUUACAUUUUUUCAUUAGGACAACAAGUCAGUAAUAGAGGUUGACUUCAUGAUAAAAAUAAAUUUCAACUUUUAUUUAAGGCAAAAAACUCAAACAUUAUUAA